rnacentral:rRNA from 1 species
CUGCUCAAUGAAAAAUUUAAAUAGCUGCAGUAUAAUUAACUGUACAAAGGUAGCAUAAUAAUUUGUUUUUUAAUUAAAAACUAGAAUGAAUGAUUUCAUGAAAUAUAAACUGUAUCAAAUUUAUUUAAUAAAUUUAUUAUUUAAAUAAAAAAAUUUAAAUAAUUUUUAAAGACGAAAAGACCCUAUAGAAUUUAAAUAAAAAAUUAUAAAAAUUAUAAUUUUUUUAUAUUAGUUGGGGAAAUUUUAAAAUUUUUAAAAUUUUUAAUUAAAAAAACAUAAAUUUUUGUAUAAUUAUUUUUUUUUAAAAAAUAAAAUUAAAUUACCUUAGGGAUAACAGCAUAAUUUUUUUAAAAAG